rnacentral:rRNA from 1 species
AACGAACGCUGGCGGCAUGCCUAACACAUGCAAGUCGAACGAGACCUUCGGGUCUAGUGGCGCACGGGUGCGUAACGCGUGGGAACCUGCCCUUAGGUUGGGAAUAACUCCCCGAAAGGGGUGAUAAUACCGGAUAAUGUCUUCGGACCAAAGAUUUAUCGCCUUUGGAUGGGCCCGCGUUGGAUUAGCUAGUUGGUAGGGUAAAAGCCUACCAAGGCGACGAUCCAUAGCUGGUCUGAGAGGAUGAUCAGCCACACUGGGACUGAGACACGGCCCAGACUCCUACGGGAGGCAGCAGUGGGGAAUAUUGGACAAUGGGCGAAAGCCUGAUCCAGCAAUGCCGCGUGAGUGAUGAAGGCCUUAGGGUUGUAAAGCUCUUUUACCCGGGAUGAUAAUGACAGUACCGGGAGAAUAAGCUCCGGCUAACUCCGUG